rnacentral:lncRNA from 1 species
UACGGUCGUAAACCGGCCAGGGCACCCCCUCUGGGAACGCAUGCGAGGGAUGCAUACGGGGGCUAGAGGUAAACAGCUUCUCUGAAAAAGUGCACGCAUCACGGUA